UACGGAGGAUCCAAGCGUUAUCCGGAUUUAUUGGGUUUAAAGGGUGCGCAGGCGGAAGAUUAAGUCGGCGGUGAAAUUUUGCAGCUCAACUGUAAAAGUGCCAUCGAUACUGGUUUUCUUGAGUGUGGAUGAAGUAGGCGGAAUUUGUGGUGUAGCGGUGAAAUGCAUAGAUAUCACGAGGAACUCCGAUUGCGCAGGCAGCUUACUAGGCCAUAACUGACGCUCAGGCACGAAGGCGUGGGGAUCAAACAGGAUUAGAUACCCCU
rnacentral:rRNA from 1 species